rnacentral:lncRNA from 1 species
AGCCAACUCACAAGUACACAACAACUUUGCUUCAUUGAAAUAUAUGCAAGAGACAACAACUGUCACUAACCAAUUCAAAGCCAAUAGAUAUGGGAUCAAUAAGCCGCAAUUAGAUGUUGAAGUCGAAAUCAUCCAAAUACAGGUAAAUCAAACUUAAAGCCAACGAAGUGAAAAUCAUCCAAAUACAUGUAAAACAAACUUAAAGCUAAAGAAGUUGAAAUCAUCCAAUUACAUAGACUUCAGAUUAAAUCAUCCGAAACACGUUUCCCCUUACGCAUGGUUAUGUUAAGGGAAAUCUCCACAUCUUGCUCCUCGGUUAUUUUUGCACAUACUUUCAACAUAUGGGACAACUUAUGGACCGGUUCACUUCCUUUGGUUGUGCCACUUGAUUCGCCUUGCAACAGAUACUCUUUAUCAGGCAAAACAUUACAAAACAUGAAGAAUCCACAGUCGUGAGUACAGGAAUGGAACAACUUCCUUAAUUCUUGGAAUUUUUUUUUACCUCCAACCUCUAACGAACCCAUCUCCACAGUUUGGGCAUCUCUUCUUUUUGGGGCAUUCCAGCAUCAAGUGUCCUGCCCCCCGGCAAGAAUGACAAAUUCCUCUGUUCUUCCCAGCCAUCAACAAUACUGAUUCAUUCACAAAGAACUAUUGGUUCAUCAUAAAUUGACAGGAUGAUUAACGUUGCAAUUUUUCCACUCUACAAGCUGAACUGUAAUGACAUGGGAAAAAAAACACGGUAUCUUUCUCAAUGCAUGCAUUUCACCAUCAACAACCCCAUCAAUUUAACUGUAAAUCGGACUUCACAUAACAAGCCCAUCAAUUAACUGUAAAUCAGAUAUCACAUACGCAGAUUGUGCAGACACAACAUUGAAAUAAAUUCUUCAAUUUCUAGAAUGAGAAUUGGGCAUAUAGGAAAAUCCAAUUUCUCAGAUAUAAAAACCUUGGGUUCUUCAUAUUUCAACAGAUCUACAUUCAAGUCACUGUAUUGCCCUAAACCUUAAAUAUUAAAAUUAAAAUAAAAAAUGGAAUUCAGAUUCGAAGUUCUUAACCUGGAUUCUACAACUACGUCGACCAAAUUUCUGACGCCGUCGUCUUCCCCGUUCUCCUAGAUUUGCUUGUUCACGAUCUUCACCGGCCACUUGAAGGACAUCAUCGCAUAGACUAUAUCGAGUGCAGGACAGAGAGAAAAAACAUCCUUGGCCAAAUUUGUAAUGCCGUCUUCUUUCGCGUUCUCCUAGAUUUGUUUGUUCGGCAUCUACACCAGCGAUCUGGAGGACAUCUUCAUCGGCUAGUCAGAGAGUUAUUACAGAGAGAUGGAGGGGAGAGAGAGACAAGUCUUGUGUGCAGUGUGCGUGAG